AGAAUCAACGCUGGCGGCGUGCCUAACACAUGCAAGUCGAACGAGAAAGUGGAGCAAUCCAUGAGUAAAGUGGCGACCGGGUGAGUAACACGUGACUAACCUACCUUCGAGUGGGGGAUAACCUCGGGAAACCGGGGCUAAUACCGCAUAAUGCCUUCGGGUUAAAGGAGCAAUUCGCUUGAAGAGGGGUCGCGGCUGAUUAGCUAGUUGGCGGGGUAACUGCCCACCAAGGCGAUGAUCGGUAGCCGGCCUGAGAGGGCGCACGGCCACACUGGAACUGAAACACGGUCCAGACUCCUACGGGAGGCAGCAGUGGGGAAUUUUGCGCAAUGGGGGAAACCCUGACGCAGCAACGCCGCGUGGAGGAUGAAGUCCCUUGGGACGUAAACUCCUUUCGACCGGACGAUAAUGACGGUACCGGUGGAAGAAGCCCCGGCUAACUUCGCGCCAGCAGCCGC
rnacentral:rRNA from 1 species